UACGUAGGGGGCGAGCGUUGUCCGGAUUCAUUGGGCGUAAAGAGCUCGUAGGCGGCUUGGCAAGUCGGGUGUGAAAACUUCAGGCUCAACCUGGAGAUGCCACUCGAUACUGCUAUGGCUAGAGUCCGGUAGGGGACCACGGAAUUCCUGGUGUAGCGGUGAAAUGCGCAGAUAUCAGGAGGAACACCGGUGGCGAAGGCGGUGGUCUGGGCCGGCACUGACGCUGAGGUGCGAAAGCGUGGGGAGCAAACAGG
rnacentral:rRNA from 1 species